UUUUUCAUCAGCAAUUUUCUGAAAAAGUUCUAUUUUCUCUGAAAAGUUCAUACUCAAAACAGUUUUGAAAAAACUCCAAAAAAAUCUCUCAUUCCUCACAAGUUUUUAAAUAUGGUUUAAAAAGAGAAGGUUUUUCUUGGUCUAUUAGCUGGGGGUUUUAUGGUUUCAGCCGUUUGUUUUGAGGUUUGAAGUUUGAUUUUUGUGUCUGCUAGAGUUACUUAGUUCAUUGUUGUUUUUUCUGCUUCUAAGAUCUCUCUAUUAGUCUCAUCUUUAUUUUAUUUGUACUUCACUUUUGUUUCAAGGUACAUAUGACCAUUUCCUUGUUUGAUUCCUAUGUAAUGGAAGUUUCAAAUGAAUAUGAGUUGUUUCCCUUUGUUUUGGUAUUGUGUAUAUAUGCUAUUAAGUUUUUUUACAUGCUGAAAGUUUUUCUUUCUCAGAAUGCAUAAGUUUUCUUACUUCUAAUGUGUGUCAUGGUGUCUUUCUUUCUUCGUCAGACUUUAGCACUAAUUCUCUCUUGCUAGCAUGCAUUUCUGUUUUCUUCUUGCGCUGAUUAAACAGUAUGUUCAAAAUCAUCCCCCUCCCCCCAAAACAGGUUUGUCCAUUGAGCCUGAUAUUUACAUGGUCAGGUUCAUUGACUAAACUUCCCCUUUUAUUCCCUUUGAGUUUAUUCUAGCACUUCACCAAGACUAUCAUGAUUUUUGGGCUUGGAACCUACAUUGGCUCAUGAGUUUAACCUUUAACAUGGUUAAACCCAUGAUUCAUAGUUGUUUCUAGCAUUAUAUGUUUAUGUUUGAGUCUGAUAAAUGCAUUGAGUCAGUAGAAUUGAACGUGUUUUCUGUGGAUCUGACUUCUUCCUCUGAUCAGAUUCAUGAAAUCCGUAGUAGAAUGGGGAUGAUUUGGACAGUAAAAAACUCCAUUUGAGGUGUUUAAGCAGCUAGCUUGUAAGAAACAUCUUUAUAGAUGAUUUUUUGCAAGUCGAUACUUUGGCUGUGACGAGUCUGAUGGCAAGAAUCCAGUCUAGAAGACAUGGUUCUUUUAUUUCUUUUAGCUUUUCUUUCUUUUUAUUAGACAAUAGUUGUAAAGGACUGUAGGAUAAUGUUCAGUAGUUUCAGAAAUCUCUCUUGUAUAAAGUUUUAGACUGACAACUCUGUAAAUUGACUGUUAAUUUCGAUUUAAAUUUAAUUGCUAGUAGGUUUUCCAUAGUAAACUUUCCUUUUAUGUAAAUAUGAACUAGGUUACAUUUGCAAGCAGGCCCAAGUCUUAGGCCUAUUUGAGCAAGUCCGACCAGGGUCAUUAGGCCUGGGCGGUUGGAUCUCACACCUUGACCUAGCAUCAGUUUUUUUUUAUUUGUUAAUUACCAAUGUACAUCUGAUACAUCUUGUAAAUUAAUGUGGUAGAACUAAAUUGCAAACGUGCCUUAUGU
rnacentral:lncRNA from 1 species